rnacentral:tRNA from 1 species
GUUCAAGUAGUUUAACUAAAAACUUUGGUCUUGUAAACCAAGAACGAAUCAUAUGAUUCCUAGAGCA